rnacentral:rRNA from 1 species
AACGUAGGAGGCGAGCGUUAUCCGGAUUCACUGGGCGUAAAGCGCGCGUAGGCGGUCGAGUAAGUCGGAUGUUAAAGCCCCUGGCUCAACUGGGGGAGCCGUUCGAUACUGCUCGGCUUGAGGGUGACAGGGGAGAGUGGAAUUCCCGGUGUAGCGGUGGAAUGCGUAGAGAUCGGGAGGAACACCAGUGGCGAAGGCGGCUCUCUGGGUCACUUCUGACGCUGAGUGCGCGACAGCGUGGGGAGCAAACGGG